rnacentral:snRNA from 13 species
UGAUAAAGUAGCCAAGGACAAACCCAAGAGCAAGGCCGGCAAGGGAAAGAGUGGGAAGAAGCAGCGCCGCGCCGAAGUCGACCUCAAC